UUAGAAAGUGAACAAAAUACGAGAGGAAGAAAAGCAAACAAGUUCAGAUUUACUGUAAGAAAGAAGAGAACAAAUUUAUGAGUUCAGAAAAUAAACCCGCAUCCCUAGAGAAUUACUACAGAGAUGAAAACCAUCAUGGUCCAAGUUGGUCCUCAAAGAACUAGUUGUGAUGAAGCUGGAGAGAAAAUGAAAUCCAAUGAGGGAAAAAGCAUAUAUCUGGAAUGGGCUUUCUAAGGUAGAGGGGCAAUAAGAAGACACUGGCAGAUAUCAAACUGGCAGACAUUACCAACCUCCCCUCUGCUCCACAGGAAGAUAGCCUGAGGAGCUAAUCGUAGGUGGUGCCAGGUCAAAG